GAUGAACGCUGGCGGCGUGCUUAACACAUGCAAGUCGAACGGAAAGGCCCAAGCUUGCUUGGGUACUCGAGUGGCGAACGGGUGAGUAACACGUGGGUGAUCUGCCCUGCACUUCGGGAUAAGCCUGGGAAACUGGGUCUACUACCGGAUAGGACCACAUUUAGGAUGGUGUGGUGGAAAGUUUUUCGGUGUGGGAUGAGCUCGCGGCCUAUCAGCUUGUUGGUGGGGUAAUGGCCUACCAAGGCGUCGACGGGUAGCCGGCCUGAGAGGGUGUACGGCCACAUUGGGACUGAGAUACGGCCCAGACUCCUACGGGAGGCAGCAGGGGGGAAUAUUGCACAAUGGGCGCAAGCCGGAUGCAGCGGCGCUGCGUGGGGGAUGACGGCCUUCGGGUGGUAGACUCCUUUCGCUAGGGACGAAGCGUUAUGUGACGGUACCUGGAGAAGAAGCACCGGCUAACUACGUG
rnacentral:rRNA from 1 species